rnacentral:tRNA from 1 species
CAGAUAUAUUCCAGGGUGAAAUAAUUUUUUACAAUAAUUAAAUUUAGCUGUUCAAUUCAGUUUUAUCUGA